CCAGUGUUAAAUUUUCAGGGAUGGUGUUAAACACACAGUGUUGAUGCUGUUUUAACACUAUCUGGUAAUAAAAUAACACUGCCAUUGCUAGGCCAGUGUUAUAUCCACAACAGUGUCAGUGUAAAACAAGGGUGUUAUCAGAUUUCACUCUGAGCGGUGUAAAUCAAGCCAUGCCUCCACUAAACAUUUCCUGUCAGGGAUUUUACCGCCAUUUUCUUUCACAGGAGGACUGAAGAGAUCAGAUGCUAGUUUGGUGAAAGUUCACACUGAGUGCUUCAAAUCAUUCAGAAGAGAUGCUGUUUUUAGGGCAGUUUAUUAAAGAAGACCUGACAUGGAUGACUUCCAAUGAGAAACGACUGCUAAUACUUAUAUAAAUUCAUUACAGAAGGACCCUACCAGACUAUAUUUGAAUACGGCAUACCCAUGAAUUCUGGAACUGUUAUUCCUUAACCCAGUUUGGAGGAUAAGAGCUUACCAACUAGUUAUAAAUAUGCUGAGGUGAUGUAUUGCAAAAUAGCCAACAUACAACAAUAUGGAUGACCCUCUGUCUGGUCAACAGGAGUUUAAAUAUGAACGGGACAGUGAUGUGGCAGCUCUUCCCUGGCUCAUUCACCUCUUGCCUUCAUUUGUGAAAGGAAGAAAGACUGGAGAGGGUCAAUGUGCAACUGAAGCUACUGAUUGUGCUGUGUGAUGAGCAUCAAUCCAUGCUUUGAGGUGGAUGAAUCAGCACAGCCCUGCCUGCACUGCGUUGGGAACAGAAGUUGCAUCCAGAAUUUUUGCAUCAUUCUGGACCAAAAAGCCAUUCCCUCCAUGAUGAAGACCACUGAUGCAGCCUUCCACUACAUCAUGAGUAAAACAACUACAGAACUAAAUACCAGGUUGGAACGUAUUUAAGAAAAAUGAAACGUCUUUUGAAUUGAAAUGUCUGUUUUGUUAUGGAAAAAUCUUUAGUAUUGUGAAAGAUAAGCAUUUCUGCCUGCCAGUAAGGUAAUUGCAGUGUAUUUUAAUGUUCAAGUUUUGAGUAGGGUGGCAAAUUUUUUUUAAACUCUCAUUUGAUAUAUUAAAGACCUUAUAAGUGGUUUUCAUGUCACUGCGCUGUGGUAUAAGAUAACUUUCAUUAUUCCAUACUGUAUUCUGUUUCUAAUUGUAGCUGAGGUAUUUAAAUAAGCAGUGUUAAAUGCAAAGUGUUGUGUGUAUCAAUGUAAAUAUUAAAUGUGAUGUACUUUAAUAAAAAGAGGUUUUGCAAUAAUUCUUGUCAUUUGUC